rnacentral:tRNA from 8 species
CGCGGAGUGGAGCAGGGGUAGCUCGUUGGGCUCAUAACCCAAAGGUCGUAAGUUCGAAUCUUACCUCCGCAA